rnacentral:tRNA from 1 species
GCUUAAGUAGCUUAUGAAGAGCUAAGCUUUGAAGAAGCUUGGGAACCAUGUUUGGAUGGUUUUGAGUU